GGACUUACACCAUCAGCUCUCCUGGUUCUCAGGCCUUUGGACUCGAACUGGAACUACACCAUUGGCUCUCCUGGGUCUCCAGCUUGGCAACUGCAGGUCUUGGGACUUUUCAGCCUCCCCAAUGAUGUGUGUUUCGGCAGAUGAGACCACAGGCCCUGGCCAUGCUGUACUUCCACCUGUGCCCUGGCUGCACCAUGUGGCAUGAUGAGGCUGUGGAGGGCAUUUUCCGGCAGCUGGGUGUGAUGCCCUGAUGCUGGAAUUCUACAGCCGUGAUGACCCCUCAACAAUGCUGCCUGGCUGCAGGAGUGGCUGAGCAGCUUGCAGCAGGUGAAGCAUGGGAGACCUCCUGACAUGGGGCCCACCUGCACCAGCACACCCCCCACCCCACCCCCAGUACCGCAACACCCUCAAACCUUCCUGGGGAGGCAGGGCCUGGUGCCAUACCCCCCAGCCCAACUCUGAUAGGGCUCCAGCCACCCAAUGGACAGGGCAUACAGACAGGAUGGUGGAGGCGUUGAGACCUGCUUGAUUUAUUCCGAGUAUUUAAUACACAAUGACGCAACUGUGAUCCCAA